rnacentral:rRNA from 1 species
GAUGAACGCUGGCGGCGUGCCUAAUACAUGCAAGUCGAGCGAAAAGACGAGGAGCUUGCUCCUCUGACGUUAGCGGCGGACGGGUGAGUAACACGUGGAUAACAUACCUAUAAGACUGGGAUAACUUCGGGAAACAGGAGCUAAUACUGGAUCAUAUAUUGAACCGCAUGGUUCAAUAGAGAAAGACGGUUUUGCUGUCACUUAUAGAUGGUUCCGGGCCGCAUUAGCUAGUUGGUAAGGUAACGGCUUACCAAGGCAACGAUGCGUAGCCGACCUGAGAGGGUGAUCGGCCACACUGGAACUGAGACACGGUCCAGACUCCUACGGGAGGCAGCAGUAGGGAAUCUUCCGCAAUGGGCGAAAGCCUGACGGAGCAACGCCGCGUGAGUGAUGAAGGUCUUCGGAUCGUAAAGCUCUGUUAUUAGGGAAGAACAAAUGUGUAAUUAACUAUGCACGUCUUGACGGUACCUAAUCAGAAAGCCACGGCUAACUACGUG